rnacentral:tRNA from 1 species
GGAAGGUUGCCCGAGUGGCUUAAGGGAACGGUUUGCUAAAUCGUCGGUGGUCUAAAAGCCGCCACGUGGGUUCGAAUCCCACACCUUCCGCCA